CAGUAGCCACGGUAAUACGAAGGGGGCUAGCGUUGCUCGGAAUUACUGGGCGUAAAGGGAGCGUAGGCGGACAUUUAAGUCAGGGGUGAAAUCCCAGAGCUCUACUCUGGAACUGCCUUUGAUACUGGGUGUCUUGAGUGUGAUAGAGGUAUGUGGAACUCCGAGUGUAGAGGUGAAAUUCGUAGAUAUUCGGAAGAACACCAGUGGCGAAGGCGACAUACUGGAUCAUUACUGACGCUGAGGCUCGAAAGCGUGGGGAGCAAACAGGAUUAGAUACCCCUGUAGUCCCUGUCUCUUAUAC
rnacentral:rRNA from 1 species